rnacentral:rRNA from 1 species
CCUACGGGGGGCAGCAGUGAGGAAUAUUGGUCAAUGGACGAGAGUCUGAACCAGUCAAGUAGCGUGAAGGAUGACUGCCCUAUGGGUUGUAAACUUCUUUUAUAUGGGAAUAAAAUGUUCCACGUGUGGGAUUUUGUAUGUACCAUAUGAAUAAGGAUCGGCUAACUCCGUGCCAGCAGCCGCGGUAAUACGGAGGAUCCGAGCGUUAUCCGGAUUUAUUGGGUUUAAAGGGAGCGUAGGUGGAUUGUUAAGUCAGUUGUGAAAGUUUGCGGCUCAACCGUAAAAUUGCAGUUGAAACUGGCAGUCUUGAGUACAGUAGAGGUGGGCGGAAUUCGUGGUGUAGCGGUGAAAUGCUUAGAUAUCACGAAGAACUCCGAUUGCGAAGGCAGUUCACUGGACUGCAACUGACACUGAGGCUCGAAAGUGUGGGUAUCAAACAGGAUUAGAUACCCGUGUAGUC